rnacentral:tRNA from 3 species
GGUCCGGUAGCUCAGCUGGUUAGAGUGCCUGCCUGUCACGCAGGAUGUCGAGGGUUCAAAUCCCUUCCGGAUCGCCA